UACGAAGGGUGCAAGCGUUAAUCGGAACUACUGGGCGUAAAGGGUGCGUAGGCGGUUGUUUAAGUCUGUCGUGAAAUCCCCGGGCUCAACCUGGGAAUGGCGAUGGAUACUGGGCAGCUAGAGUGUGUCAGAGGAUGGUGGAAUUCCCGGUGUAGCGGUGAAAUGCGUAGAGAUCGGGAGGAACAUCAGUGGCGAAGGCGGCCAUCUGGGACAACACUGACGCUGAAGCACGAAAGCGUGGGGAGCAAACAGG
rnacentral:rRNA from 1 species